rnacentral:rRNA from 1 species
UACGUAGGGGGCAAGCGUUGUCCGGAUUUAUUGGGCGUAAAGAGCGUGUAGGCGGCUAGAUAGGUCCGUUGUGAAAACUCGAGGCUCAACCUCGAGACGCCGGUGGAAACCAUCUAGCUAGAGUCCGGAAGAGGAGAGUGGAAUUCCUGGUGUAGCGGUGAAAUGCGCAGAUAUCAGGAGGAACACCGGUGGCGAAGGCGGAUCUCUGGGCCUUACCUGACGCUCAGGCGUGAAAGCUAGGGGAGCGAACUGG